GCCAGGCAUGGUGGUGCAUGCCUGUAAUCCCAGCUACUCAGAGGCUGAGGCAGGAGAAUUGCUUGAACCCAGGAGGCAGAGGGUGCAGUGAGCCGAGAUCGUGCCAUUGCACUCCAGCCUGGGCGACAGAGCGAGAUUCUGUCUCAA
rnacentral:SRP_RNA from 1 species